CUCACCAGACCGUUUCCCCGCCGGAAUGUUGAAGGCGGGGUUAAGGUCUGGUUACGCGAGACUAUACAUAUGUAAUAAUAAAUAAUGUAAUAAAUAAAUAAUAUAAUAAAUAGUAAAUAAAUAAAUAAUAUAAUAUAAUAAAUAAUCAGGCGCGGAUACAGAAUUUUUCGAAAGGGCGUCCAGUUGUAUCGUUAACCACGCCUAUUAGCAGCUAAAUCUGUAUUUUGGACAUACGGAACCAGCAAACUCACUUCAAUCUGUAUUAGGGUUAAUUUCCUAGCAUUUGAUGAGGCAUGCAAGUUUAGAAUUGACCGAAUUAACCAUCCAUCGAAACAUUAUUGUUCACUCUGAUACAAACGGCUGCGGUGGGCGUGUCGUUAAAGAGGAGGGAAUCCUGACCCAGGACCCCCUAGGCUCCUCCGCCUAUGUGAUUAGUCUCGCGUAGCCAGACCAUCUCCGCAUACAUCCUUCCGGCGAGAAAUAGACAUAGGACCACACCCCUUUCUGUUGUGCAACCCGGUGAUUUGUGUACUCUCGCGCUUUGCUCGCGAUUCCAGACCGUCGACUCGAUGCUCCAGACCUCAUGUCGGGUACACAUAUCACCGGCCAUGAUGCAAAGCUGCUGGUGAUUUCGGACCCCGGUGAUUUGUGUACCCUUGUGCUUUCCUCGUCGUCCCAGACUGCUUUCAAGCUACAGGACUCGCGAUCCUAGAGAACGAAUAUCUUGUGACAGUUGCACCCGUGGCCGGAAGAUGACCAUGAAGAAGCCGGAUGUUGACUGAAUAGAAGAAGCUGGAUGUAUGAUGACUGUGACUCAACCGGAUGAUGACUGACUCCUAGAACUGCCGGAUGGUGACUUUGACUCAACCGGAUGACUGUGAUCACAGUCACAUGUGACUCAAUCGGAUAAUGACUGCGGCAUGCCGAGGGUACACUAUAUAUUUAGAGACACAGCUCUAGCGCUGGAUUCAGAUGCAGGUUGUUGCAGUUGUGCAGUUGAGUGUCUACAGUCGCGAGCAGUUGUGUAUCAUAGCACGUAGAAUUGAUUCUUUGGUUAGCUACAGUUGAUCUACUCUAGAGUUGUAGCUGUAUCUACGAUUUCGUACUAAUAUGCUUCUAUUUGGCUUGUAAUAAGUUGUCUCAGUCUGGACGCGCGUGAUAGAGCCAUAUGGACAAUCCAGAGUUGACGGAUGCAGAGUCAGACGUAGAAGCUACAGAAGUAGAUACUGUAACUUCAGCAGAACAAUGGUCGGAAAACAUUGUGAACUCAUACAAAGAGUUCCUAGUCUCUGGAGGGAC